rnacentral:rRNA from 1 species
UGUGCAUCANCGCGUGGGUCCCCUUUGCGGGAGGGCUUGCGUUUUCACAGAAAACUCGAUACAGUGUAGAAUGUGUUUCUUUUGCGGUCACACGCAAUCAAUACAACUUUCAACAACGGAUCUCUUGGCUCUCGCAUCGAUGAAGAACGCAGCGAAAUGCGAUACGUAAUGUGAAUUGCAGAAUUCAGUGAAUCAUCGAAUCUUUGAACGCACCUUGCGCCCCUUGGCAUUCCGAGGGGCACACCCGUUUGAGUGUCGUGAAAUCUUCAAAAUCCUUUUUUCUUUGAACCAUCGUGGUCGGGAAAAGGGGGUUUUGGACUUGGAGGUUUAAUGCNUGCCCUUUCUUUCGAAAGUGAGCUCCUCUCAAAUGAAUUANUGGGGUCCGCUUUGCUGAUCCUUGACGUGAUAAAA